rnacentral:rRNA from 2 species
UGCAGUCGAGCGAACUGAUUAGAAGCUUGCUUCUAUGACGUUAGCGGCGGACGGGUGAGUAACACGUGGGCAACCUGCCUGUAAGACUGGGAUAACUUCGGGAAACCGAAGCUAAUACCGGAUAGGAUCUUCUCCUUCAUGGGAGAUGAUUGAAAGAUGGUUUCGGCUAUCACUUACAGAUGGGCCCGCGGUGCAUUAGCUAGUUGGUGAGGUAACGGCUCACCAAGGCAACGAUGCAUAGCCGACCUGAGAGGGUGAUCGGCCACACUGGGACUGAGACACGGCCCAGACUCCUACGGGAGGCAGCAGUAGGGAAUCUUCCGCAAUGGACGAAAGUCUGACGGAGCAACGCCGCGUGAGUGAUGAAGGCUUUCGGGUCGUAAAACUCUGUUGUUAGGGAAGAACAAGUACAAGAGUAACUGCUUGUACCUUGACGGUACCUAACCAGAAAGCCACGGCUAACUACGUGCCAGCAGCCGCGGUAAUACGUAGGUGGCAAGCGUUAUCCGGAAUUAUUGGGCGUAAAGCGCGCGCAGGCGGUUUCUUAAGUCUGAUGUGAAAGCCCACGGCUCAACCGUGGAGGGUCAUUGGAAACUGGGGAACUUGAGUGCAGAAGAGAAAAGCGGAAUUCCACGUGUAGCGGUGAAAUGCGUAGAGAUGUGGAGGAACACCAGUGGCGAAGGCGGCUUUUUGGUCUGUAACUGACGCUGACGCGCGAAAGCG